GGGAUUCAUCUCAUCUCAUCUUAGCUGUUCAAAAACAACAACAAAAAAGGCAGCUAGCAGAAGGUAGCCAUCUUGUCUUCCAUUUUAGUCGAUGAAGAGCAAUAGUCUUCUCCAAGUGCAGGGCAUUCUGUUCUGAUAGAGGAUCUGACUGAUGAUCAAGCUGUGAUUCAGACCUCCAAGCCAGAGAAAACACACAAUAGUGCUGUAGAAGGUCUUUCUCUGCUAAGGGGGAUUUUUGGAUCAGUGAAUGCACUUUUUUUUUUCUGUUUCUUUUCUUUUUCUUAUUAGUAAAGCAACAGUCAAAAAGCCUAUGUCUGUAUACUUGUGCCAAACACACAAAUGUUUGGCCAGUUUGAGACUGGAUAAGAUCCUGGGCUUGUGUCUUAGCUCCCAGCUUGGUGAUAAUAUCCUCCCUUAGCAAAGGAUUUUACAAGCAGAUGCACAUAUCAAAAUCAGUUCACCAACAUAACUGCAGUUUGAAUCCCCAUUUGCCAAAACCACAAUCCUGGGAAUGCAUUUUAAGGAUACAGCUUCUGUGAGAUUAUUUAUGCAAGGAAAUACUUUAUUUUUGCAUCAGGACCAAAAUAAGAUUUUUUUCAUAGGUCAGAAAUCCU